rnacentral:rRNA from 1 species
UACGUAGGGGGCAAGCGUUGUCCGGAAUCAUUGGGCGUAAAGAGCGUGUAGGCGGCCAGAUAAGUCCGCUGUGAAAUCUCGAGGCUCAACUUCGAGCUGUCGGUGGAAACUGUCUGGCUAGAGUCCGGAAGAGGAGAAUGGAAUUCCUGGUGUAGCGGUGAAAUGCGUAGAUAUCGGAAGGAACACCAGUGGCGAAAGCGGCUUCCUGGUCCAGCAUCGACGUUCAGGCACGAAAGCGUGGGGAGCAAACAGG